AGAUUAAGCCAUGCAUGUCUAAGUAUAAAUAAAUUUAUAUUGUGAAACUGCGAAUGGCUCAUUAAAUCAGUUAUGAUCUACGUGACAUAUUUCUUUACUACUUGGAUAACCGUGGUAAUUCUAGAGCUAAUACAUGCAAAAAAGCCCUGACUUCGGAAGGGGUGCACUUAUUAGAUAAAGCCAACGCUGGGUAAAACCAGUUUUCCUUGGUGAUUCAUAAUAAUUUAGCGGAUCGCAU
rnacentral:rRNA from 1 species